CCUACGGGUGGCAGCAGUGGGGAAUAUUGGACAAUGGGCGAAAGCCUGAUCCAGCCAUGCCGCGUGUGUGAAGAAGGCCUUCGGGUUGUAAAGCACUUUCAGUGGGGAAGAAAGCCUUGGGGCUAAUACCCUCGAGGAAGGACAUCACCCACAGAAGAAGCACCGGCUAACUCCGUGCCAGCAGCCGCGGUAAUACGGAGGGUGCGAGCGUUAAUCGGAAUUACUGGGCGUAAAGCGCGCGUAGGCGGUCUGAUAAGCCGGUUGUGAAAGCCCCGGGCUCAACCUGGGAACGGCAUCCGGAACUGUCAGGCUAGAGUGCAGGAGAGGAAGGUAGAAUUCCCGGUGUAGCGGUGAAAUGCGUAGAGAUCGGGAGGAAUACCAGUGGCGAAGGCGGCCUUCUGGACUGACACUGACGCUGAGGUGCGAAAGCGUGGGUAGCAAACAGGAGUAGAUACCCCAGUAGUC
rnacentral:rRNA from 1 species